UACGUAGGCAGCAAGCGUUGUUCGGAGUUACUGGGCGUAAAGGGUGUGUAGGCGGUUCUUUAAGUUUGGUGUGAAAUCUCCCGGCUCAACUGGGAGGGUGCGCCGAAUACUGAGGGACUAGAGUACGGGAGAGGAAAGUGGAAUUCCUGGUGUAGCGGUGAAAUGCGUAGAUAUCAGGAGGAAUACCGGUGGUGCAGACGGCUCUCUGGACCGUAACUGACACUGAGACACGAAAGCGUGGGUAGCAAACAGG
rnacentral:rRNA from 1 species